AUACAGAGGGUGCGAGCGUUAAUCGGAAUUACUGGGCGUAAAGCGCGCGUAGGCGGCUGAUUAAGUCAGAUGUGAAAUCCCAGGGCUCAACCUUGGAACUGCAUCUGAUACUGGGUAGCUAGAGUUUAGGAGAGGGAAGUAGAAUUUCAGGUGUAGCGGUGAAAUGCAUAGAGAUCUGAAGGAAUACCAGUGGCGAAGGCGGCUUCCUGGCCUAAAACUGACGCUGAGGUGCGAAAGCGUGGGUAGCAAACGGGAUUAGAAACCCCGGUAGUCC
rnacentral:rRNA from 1 species